CCUAAUAACGUAAAAUCCCAUUGGCAGACGUUAUGCGUCUUUUAAUCUUCUCUAGCAAAUUGAUCUUUGUUAAUGUUCAAGCCGUUACACAGCACAACAUUCAAUCUACUUACAUCUACAACGGUAUUUAACAUCAAAAACCCAACAACAUUCAGGUCCAUCAUCAAAAAAUUAUAAUAAAAAGAACACCAAAAACCUCAUCUUCUUCUUUAAUCUUUCAUAGCACUCAGUUGUAGCAACCAAAUUUCGAAAAACCAGAAUCUCGGAUCGAAAAAUAUGAAACUCGGAAACUCAGCUAGAUUGAAGUACAUAUCUUCACGGUGAAAUAAUGGUGUUCGAACAAUUUACCUCAGGCUAAAGAAAAGCUUGAAAAUUUAUGGGAAUAACAGACAAUUUUGACUAUUUGGAGCCUCUAUCAAACGUUCCACUUACCACCUAAGUAGCACGGAAACGGAAACGGGAAACGGAAACGAUACGAAACGGACACGGGGAAACGAAAGUUUUUCAAAAUGAAGGACACGAAACGUGGGGGAAACGUGUAAAUAACAAAAAUUUAAGGAUAUAUUUAUAAAAAUAUUAUUUAAAUAUUUAUGAUAAUUAACAAAAUAAUUCAAUUUAAUGUACUAAAUAUUUAAAAUUUUAUAAAUAUAUAAAAAAUAUAAUACAAUUCAACACAAAUAAGUAUAUUUGUUGUAUUGUGGGCAAUACGAAUGUAAAAUUUAUGGGUAACUAGUUAAAUUUUUUUAUUUGUGGGUAAUAAUUUUAAAUUUUUUACAAAUUUUAAUUUUUAUUAUUUACAGAAACGGCCCGAAACGUUUCGUACGGGUGUCCAAGAGUUUCCGGUUUCCGAAACGUUUCCGAAACGGGAAACGCAACUUUAUCGAAGUUUCCGUGCUUCUUAGCUUACCACUGUUAACAAUAGAUGCAAGAAUGAAAUCCUCGUGUUUUUUUUUUCAUUCAAUGUUCAAACAAUGAGUCACUUAUUCAUUCCUUCACGCUCACGCUCUCAUGUUAUUUUAAAUUAUGAAGUUUCAGCUUUUGUAUUAGCAUUUUGUUAGUUCUAGAAUAGCUAAGAUCAACUAUGUGUUUGUAAAUAGUUCAUUGUUGGCUUGCUUAUCUCACUAUUUUCCAUUUGGCGAACAUUUAAACCAUAUUUAAAAGCCAAAAAAAAAAGCACAUUACGAUGUAAAUGGAAAUUAAAAUGAAGAAACAUGAACUGAAUUGAAAUGUCAA